GACGAACCGUGCGAACGUUAUUCGGAAUCACUGGGCUUAAAGCGCGUGUAGGCGGGUCGGCACGUCGGGAGCUGAAAUCCCCCGGCUCAACCGGGGAAGGGGCGCCGAUACGACCGGCCUGGAGGGACGUAGGGGGGGCUGGAACUUCCGGUGGAGCGGUGAAAUGCGUUGAGAUCGGAAGGAACGCCCGUGGCGAAAGCGAGCCCCUGGACGUCUACUGACGCUGAGAGACGAAAGCUAGGGGAGCAAAUGGA
rnacentral:rRNA from 1 species